rnacentral:lncRNA from 1 species
GAUAUUUUGGUAACUGCGAUUGCAUUUACUGUAGGUUAUAAUUUAAUUGCUACAAUUAAUUAUCUCAGUAUUGCAUUCGCAUAUCAUGAUGACCCAUAGUGGAACCCAAUAUGGCCAAACAAUGAUCGACAAAUUAGACCUAUUUAAAAUGGCUAGUAUGGAAAACCGUAUGGUUAAUUUGGAAAACCGCAUGGAUGAUAGGUAUGAGGAACUUGUCAUGUUAUCUGGGAGGGUUCGAGUUGUUGAGCGACGAACACAACAUUUAUCUGAGCCUGUAGGAGAAAAUGCAUGAAAUGAUUGCAUCCUCGUUAAUGAAGAAAUACCUGAGGGAGAACCUGAGCUGAAUAGGCAAAGGGAACACCUUGAGCCUAGAAAUGUUAAGUACCAAAACCUUGAGCCUCGACAUAUUGAUUACCAUGAGAGGCGAGACCGUAGACAUCAAGACGUCGGGUAUGGUGAACGUAGGGAUGAUGUAUAUCGCGAACCUAGAGAUUAUGGGUACCGUGGACCUAGGAAUGUCGACCAUUGUGACCGAGUAUGAUGAUG